rnacentral:rRNA from 1 species
AGGAUGAACGCUGGCGGCGUGCUUAACACAUGCAAGUCGAACGGUGAAGUGAGGAGCUUGCUCCUUGCGGAUCAGUGGCGAACGGGUGAGUAACACGUGAGUAACCUGCCCUUGACUCUGGGAUAAGCGUUGGAAACGACGUCUAAUACCGGAUACGACCUCCGAAGGCAUCUUCUGGAGGUGGAAAGAAUUUCGGUCAAGGAUGGACUCGCGGCCUAUCAGCUAGUUGGUGAGGUAAUGGCCCACCAAGGCGACGACGGGUAGCCGGCCUGAGAGGGUGACCGGCCACACUGGGACUGAGACACGGCCCAGACUCCUACGGGAGGCAGCAGUGGGGAAUAUUGCGCAAUGGGGGAAACCCUGACGCAGCAACGCCGCGUGGAGGAUGAAAUAUCUUGGUAUGUAAACUCCUUUCGAUGGGGAAGAUAAUGACGGUACCCAUAGAAGAAGCCCCGGCUAACUUCGUGCCAGCAGCCGC